rnacentral:lncRNA from 1 species
AAGGCUGUAAUUUAUCCAACCAAAUAUUGAAUUGAUAACUUAGUGAAAUUAAAUUAACUACAGUACAUUAGAAACACACUCCAGGAAAAAUCUCACAUAAACAAGGAACUAAAACACACUACAAGGCAAAAAAAGUAUAAUAAUAAAAUGAAUAAAAAAAUAAUAAAUGAAUGCAGAGAUUGAUUUUCAUGGAAAAGCCAAAUGCAACUUCCUUCAUCAACAAGAAGAUCCAAUCAUUUCACAAGAAGCCUAAUCAAGUCGUAGGAUUUUUCGACCGUGGAGACGAAGUCGAUGAAGCAAAGACACAUCACGAGCAUCACCGUCUGCCAGAUCUUGAGGUCGGCCAGUUAUCAGCAAGUUUGCUUCCGAUGCCGGAGCCGCCUCCAACGAAGGCGAAUCUGCUUCCUCCGACCUCCGCGUUAGAACACAAACCCACCAACAAGCCUUUGCCUUUGGCUUCGACGCUACUAUUCGUCUGCUCCACGCUCAUCGACAUGUUCUUCAAGUGCGGCCGCGUGCCACCUGUUUGAUGAAAAGUGAAGGGCUCGGAGAAUUCGGAGAAUCCGCGUCGAACGACGCUGUUUUGCGGCGGAAACCUAAAACGAGUAAGAGAGAGAGACCCCAACCCUAAUCAAUCCACGUUGAAUGAGAGGGACAAAUUUGGGUUAUCAUAAAAUUAAUGUUUGAAAAUGAAGGAGUAGAUGUAAUAAGAGCAGAACUACUCAAGGAGAAUCGAUGUAAUUAUCUCUUUAAUUAAAAUCAAAUUAUUUAGUUUAUUACAAAAUUGGAUUAUUUUGGAAUUGUCCCUAAUCCUUUGGAUAUGAUAUCCAGAUAUAGGCUCGAAGUUUUUAGCGAAUAUAUUUUAGGUAUCAAUGAUCACUACAAGAAAAACUUACUUCUAGCAUCAGCCAAAAGUUAAUGCUACAUUACAAAAG